rnacentral:rRNA from 1 species
CCUACGGGGGGCAGCAGUGAGGAAUAUUGGUCAAUGGACGCGAGCCUGAACCAGCCAAGUCGCGUGAAGGAAGACUGCCCUACGGGUUGUAAACUGCUUUUGUACGGGAGUAAAGUGAGGUACGCGUGUCUUUCUGUAAGUAUUGUAUGAAUAAGGAUCGGCUAACUCCGUGCCAGCAGCCGCGGUAAUACGGAGGAUUCGAGCGUUAUCCGGAUUUAUUGGGUUUAAAGGGUGCGUAGGUGGGUUGUUAAGUCAGUUGUGAAAGUGUGCGGCUCAACCGUAAACCCGCCAUUGAUACUGGCGGUCUUGAGUGCAGUAGAGGUAGGCGGAAUGCGUGGUGUAGCGGUGAAAUGCUUAGAUAUCACGCAGAACUCCGAUUGCGAAGGUAGCAUGCUAAACUGCCACUGACAUUGAAGCACGAAAGUGUGGGGAUCGAACAGGAUUAGAUACCCGGGUAGUC